rnacentral:tRNA from 1 species
GGCGCGGUAGCAAAGCGGUUAUGCAGAGGACUGCAAAUCCUUCCAGGGCGGUUCGACUCCGCCCCGCGCCUCCA